AUGAACGCUGGCGGCGUGCCUAAUACAUGCAAGUCGAGCGAACAGACGAGGAGCUUGCUCCUCUGACGUUAGCGGCGGACGGGUGAGUAACACGUGGAUAACCUACCUAUAAGACUGGGAUAACUUCGGGAAACCGGAGCUAAUACCGGAUAAUAUAUUGAACCGCAUGGUUCAAUAGUGAAAGACGGUUUUGCUGUCACUUAUAGAUGGAUCCGCGCCGCAUUAGCUAGUUGGUAAGGUAACGGCUUACCAAGGCAACGAUGCGUAGCCGACCUGAGAGGGUGAUCGGCCACACUGGAACUGAGACACGGUCCAGACUCCUACGGGAGGCAGCAGUAGGGAAUCUUCCGCAAUGGGCGAAAGCCUGACGGAGCAACGCCGCGGGAGUGAUGAAGGUCUUCGGAUCGUAAAACUCUGUUAUUAGGGAAGAACAAAUGUGUAAGUAACUAUGCACGUCUUGACGGUACCUAAUCAGAAAGCCACGGCUAACUAC
rnacentral:rRNA from 1 species